GACUACCGGGGUAUCUAAUCCUGUUUGCUCCCCACGCUUUCGUGCAUGAGCGUCAGUGCAGGCCCAGGGGAUUGCCUUCGCCAUCGGUGUUCCUCCGCAUAUCUACGCAUUUCACUGCUACACGCGGAAUUCCAUCCCCCUCUGCCGCACUCCAGCCUUGCAGUCACAAUGGCAGUUCCCAGGUUGAGCCCGGGGAUUUCACCACUGUCUUACAAAACCGCCUGCGCACGCUUUACGCCCAGUAAUUCCGAUUAACGCUCGCACCCUACGUAUUACCGCGGCUGCUGGCACGUAGUUAGCCGGUGCUUAUUCUUACGGUACCGUCAUGACUCCAGGGUAUUAACCCAGAGCUUUUCGUUCCGUACAAAAGCAGUUUACAACCCGAAGGCCUUCAUCCUGCACGCGGCAUUGCUGGAUCAGGGUUUCCCCCAUUGUCCAAAAUUCCCCACUGCAGCCCCCCGUAGG
rnacentral:rRNA from 1 species